UUUCCGUAGGUGAACCUGCGGAAGGAUCAUUCAUAAUAAAGUGUUUUAUGGCACUUUUUAAAAAUCCAUAUCCACCUUGUGUGCAAUGUUAGAUCUCGUCAAUCUUGGCGAGAUUUUUAUACACCAACUCAUUCUUUAACUAAUUUGUCUGAAAAAUCUUAUGAAUACUUAAUUCAAAAUACAACUUUCAACAACGGAUCUCUUGGCUCUC
rnacentral:misc_RNA from 1 species